ensembl:lncRNA
GCUUACUAAACAGGCCUAUUCUGGUGUGUUUUUCUGUUCCAACUGGCUGAAUGUGUUAGGCCCAAGUCUCCCUGAAAGUGCAACAUUUUUAAAUUUGCUGUAGAGGAACAAAAACUAUGAGGGUGUUUAUGCAAAAGAUGUUUUGCUUGGUUAAAAAAAAAAGAGAAGAAUUUACGAAUUUUCCCAACACUUAUGAGUAUGCUAUAUUUACUUAUUUAUUAAAUCCAGGAAAUUUUUUGAUGAAACGUUGAUUAAAAUUAAGAUAAAAUUAAUACAAAACGAAAUUCACUUUACAGAAAGCCUUUGUGCUUUCUGUUUGAGGUCUCUGUGAAAGUUUUAAAGCAGUCUUUUAGUGCUGAAACACCUCAUAUGUGCCACUCACAAGUAUAAUAAGGGUCGUUCCUUACCAUUAAUGCUUGGAAAACACACAUACAUUUCCAUCAAUUAAUAAUAAUGGCCAGCGCAGUGGCUGGGAUAUAGUACAUAAACCUACCAACAUCCGUUGCCAUGGUUUUUGGAAUGAUUUUACUUAUCGCGAGAGGAAAAAAAUGAAGUUUUAGUCGCAUAACAUCGGUUAAUGGAAACACCGUCAUUUCAAAAUAGUUUUUUGUCGACAUUUAGAAAAAAAAAAAAUCGCAAAAGUUUUGCGCAAAUCUGUAAUGGACACGCAGUUCUUCGAUAUGAGAAUCAUCGAGAUUUCGGUUACAUAUCACAUUGCAUAUCGUUACAGACCUGGUAGCUACCUGAUACAACUAUAAAAUAGCAAGGUGACCAGUAAAACUACAGCAGACGACUAAACCUGGCUAAUUUAAAGAAAAAAAUUACUUACUUUAAGAUGCUUCUUCAGGUUGGAAGUGGAGUCUUUGGACGCUGAAAGGAGGUUGGUUGCUGGUAAGCAGAGGUUGCAUUGCACAGAUAUAUUUCGUUCUCCCUCUUUUUUUAGUGUGAAAUGCUGUUUAAAUUUCCAAGAUAUAAACGCAUUCUUGCCCUGGCUCUGUUGUUUCAGCUCCAUCUCUACCUGUAGCUGAGCUCCCGCUGCUCCUCUUCCGACUCCAUGUGACUGAUCACGCAAACCGCACAUUUUUUCAUUUUUAUAUUGGGGCUUAUAUAAACGUUUUUUAGAGAUUGUGAAACAGAGAAGUAUCCUCAUGUAAUCCAUUGAUUUCAACAAUGUAACUGUAUUCUAAAUACCAACUAUUUAAAUUGUAACUGUAACGGAAUACAGUUACUCAUAAUUUGUAUUCUGAAUACGUAACACCGGUACAUGUAUUCCGUUACUCCCCAACACUGUCUGCCUUACACCUUGGGUGAAUAAUCAAAACAUAUGCCUCUAUUGUACAGUUUAUCUUCAAAAUAGCCUUCUGUAAUCAUUUAAAUGUAUUUCCCCUCUGAAAACAUUUUAUAGUAUGGUCUCAAUGUUUAAAUAGCUGAGUCCAAGUCCAAAUGUAUCUUUAAAGAGUAACUAAACCCUAAACCAACUUUUUUUAGUUAAUGAUCUGUAAGAAUGGGGCUUUAUUAGUGCUGUUCAUUGAUUCAAGUAACUUUUUUGACAUUUGAGUAUAAAGUGUUUUAAUUCUACAAUAUAUGGUGUAAUCGUCGGAUGCCGCUCGCGAUGCAGGAGUUAAGACAGCGCAGUUUGAGCCAGCGGCUCGAAUUGAUAUGGCUCAGGCCCUGGCCCUGUGUCCACAGACACCUCGACAUCCUCCACUUCAGGUGAAGGUGGGGGAGAAAAGUCCUCU